rnacentral:rRNA from 1 species
UGCAGUCGAACGAUGAACCUCCUUCGGGAGGGGAUUAGUGGCGAACGGGUGAGUAACACGUGGGCAAUCUGCCCUGCACUCUGGGACAAGCCCUGGAAACGGGGUCUAAUACCGGAUACGACUCGGGAGGGCAUCCUUCCGGGUGGAAAGCUCCGGCGGUGCAGGAUGAGCCCGCGGCCUAUCAGCUUGUUGGUGGGGUGAUGGCCUACCAAGGCGACGACGGGUAGCCGGCCUGAGAGGGCGACCGGCCACACUGGGACUGAGACACGGCCCAGACUCCUACGGGAGGCAGCAGUGGGGAAUAUUGCACAAUGGGCGAAAGCCUGAUGCAGCGACGCCGCGUGAGGGAUGACGGCCUUCGGGUUGUAAACCUCUUUCAGCAGGGAAGAAGCGCAAGUGACGGUACCUGCAGAAGAAGCGCCGGCUAACUACGUGCCAGCAGCCGCGGUAAUACGUAGGGCGCAAGCGUUGUCCGGAAUUAUUGGGCGUAAAGAGCUCGUAGGCGGCUUGUCGCGUCGGAUGUGAAAGCUCGGGGCUUAACCCCGGGUCUGCAUUCGAUACGGGCAGGCUAGAGUGUGGUAGGGGAGAUCGGAAUUCCUGGUGUAGCGGUGAAAUGCGCAGAUAUCAGGAGGAACACCGGUGGCGAAGGCGGAUCUCUGGGCCAUUACUGACGCUGAGGAGCGAAAGCGUGGGGAGCGAACAGGAUUAGAUACCCUGGUAGUCCACGCCGUAAACGUUGGGAACUAGGUGUUGGCGACAUUCCACGUCGUCGGUGCCG